rnacentral:lncRNA from 1 species
CACCACCACCUGAUCAAUUGGUAUACAUUAAUAAUUUUUCCCACAGAGGCUGAGAUGAUAUGAUAGGAUGCUCUAAGAGGCUUGAUGAUAUUAUGUACGUACAGACCUAUGCAUUAUAUGACAUUUAUAUGCAUAUGCAUGACGUUAUAAAUAUUUCAUGAUUUAUAGAGCUAUCCAGACUUAUAGGUGGAAUCCUUUACUCCAUGUUUCUUCCAUGUCCUUUAUAUACUGAUUUGCAUGCCUUACAUACUCGGUACAUUAUUCGUACUGACAUCCUUUUGUUGGGGAUGCUGCAUUCAUGCCUACAGGUAUAGAUAAUCAGUUUGAUGAGCCCUCGUAGUAGACGAGGUUAGCAUUCAGCGAAGGAUCGGUAAGACUCCACCUCAUUCAGAGUGCAGUCGAGUCUAUAAGUCAUCAUGUCAUAAUUUUGUCACAGACAUAUGGGCAGGCCGGUACCCUGUUCCAUUUGAUGUCAAAUAAUCUUAGAGGUUUUGUAGACAAAGGUUCAUUUUGUACAAUAUGUCAGAGACCUUGACGGCCCAUAUGUAUUCUUGUUUUAAGAACGAUGGUUCAUUGAUACAACGUUUACCCACUUAUAGUUAUACAUUACGAGUUGUGGCCAAGUUGGCCCAAUUUAGUUACAAAAAAAAAUGACAGAGUGGUUCAUUCGGGCCAGUACGACAUCGGGUGCCAGCCACGCCUCCCCAGAUUUGGGGCAUGACAGAAGAAAGAAAUGAGUUACAGAGUGGUUCGCCCGGGCCAGUACGACACCGGGUGCCAGCCACGUCCCCCAGGUUUGUGGCGUGACAAAAUCCCCUUAGGAUUUGGUACUGUAGUGAUAUGCGAGUGUUGUGUACGUGAGGUGACGAGUACGUACACGGGCAAUUUGCUGUAAAACCCGAUAUAUUUUACUGAGUAGCAACAUAUUUUUCCUUUAAUUUGAGUUAUACCGUUUAAAUGAGUAUUAGUUUGUUUUCAUUUUUAAUUUAUCUAUUCCAAUAUGUGUAGUUAUCUUGUUUAGUCUAAUAUCGCAUGUCUAUGUGCUUUAACUGCUUAUUUGAACUCUGUGAAGCAUGCCUAGUUGAUUUCCUGCUUUUCCUUAUUCGUUAUUAGUAUAAUUAAAGAAAUCUUGCUAUUAACAGUUGUAUUUAUCGGUUUGAGUUGUGUGUUUACUUUUGAGACUACGAGGCGGUUCCUCGGGAGUUCUCCCUGCACAUUUACUUUUAAGACUAUGAGGCGUUUCCUCGGGAGUUCUCCGUGCACAUUUACUUUUGAGACUACGAGGCGGUUCCUCGAGAGUUCUCCCUGCAUAUUUAUUUUUGAGACUACGAGGAGGUACCUCGGGAGUUCUUCCUGUAUAUUUACUUUUGAUACUAUGAGGUAGUACCUCAGGAGUACUCCAUGUAUAUUUAUUUUGGGAAUACGAGACAGUAUCUCUGGAGAUCCCCUGUGAUUUACGCUUGUGUGUUGUACUGUUACCUUGAUGUGUUUCCUUUUGUUAAAUUCUAGUCUCUUAUUAUACUGUAUAUUCUCUUGCCUUAUUUAUUAUUUACCAGUAGGCCUGACCUGACCUCGUCACUGCUCGACCGAGGUUGGUUUUGGAACUUACUGGGUACUAUUGUGGUGUACUCAUGCUACUCUUCUCCACAUGUUUUAUAUGCAGAUCCAGGUACUUCUUAUCAGCCCCGCUACUAGUUGAGAGUGCUUGCUGUUGUACGGAGACUUCAAGGUACAUCUGUCACGUCCGCAAACCUCAGAGUCCCCAUCUAUUCUCUCAUAUGUUAUUUACCUUCCGUAUUUCUUUUAUUAGACUCUGGUGUAUAGAGAUUCUAGUUUUCUUCUGUAGCUUGUGACUUACGAUAUUCCGAAUUUUGGUAAGAUUGUGUAUUUAUAGAGUAUUGGUUAUUGUACAUGCCGAGCGAUAUUGUUACUAGUUACUCAGUUAUCCACUGCUGUUAGUUGCCAAGUUUUACUUUCGUUUUGUUAUUUUCCGCAAUUUGUUAGGCUUACCUAGUCGUAGAGACUUGGUGUUGUCACUAUGUUAUACAUAGGGAGUUUGGGUCAUGACAAAUUGGUAUCAAAGCUCUAGGUUCAUAGGUGUCAUGAGUCACAAGCAGGUUUAGUAGAGUCUCGCGGAUCAGUAUAGAGACGUCUGUAUUUAUCUUCGGAAAGCUAUGAAACUAUUAGGAAAAAUUACACUUCUUUGAUUCCUUGUCGUGUGAAGUUGUUGACUUCGAAAUUCUAAACUUUUGUAUUCUAUUCUCUCACAGAUAAUGAGGACACGUACAUACAGAUCUGAUGACCAGGCACCUGCGCCCUCUACUAGAGCCGUGAGAGGCCAGAGUUGGGGUAGAGACCGAGGACGUCCAUGCGGUGCAGCUAGAGCACCCGCGCGAGCUGCGACAGAGGAGCCCCUAGUAGCUCCAGCUGGAAGGCAUACACUUGAGAUAUCUAUUGCUGCACCAGCCCUCCAGGAGACUCUAGCCCAAUUUCUGAGCAUGUUCAGCACCUUAGCCAAGGUUGGAUUGUUUCCACUUGCUCCUACCACAUCUCAGGCCGGGGGAGGAGCACAGACUCCUGUCGCCAGUACUCCAAAGCAGCAGGUUCAGGUCAACUAGGUUCUAAAGAUUAUACCGAUGCAGUCGAUAGCUCCAUCUCAGCCCGAGGUUAGGGAAGAAAUUUCUGAGGCGGAGCAGCUCAGACUUGAGAGGUACAAGAAGUACCAUCCUCCUACAUUUAGUGGAUUGGCAUAAGAGGAUGCCUGGGGUUUUCUGGAGGAGUGUCACCGUAUUUUCCAUACUAUGGGUGUAGCAGACUCGAGUGGGGUUUCCUUUACUGCAUUCCAUCUUAGAGGAUCAGCCUAUCAGUGGUGGCGUACUUAUGAGUUGAGUAGUCCGGCUGAGGCAGCUUCGCUUACAUGGACUCAAUUCUCGGACAUUGUUUUGAGAGAGUAUGUCCCUCAGAGCCUUAGGGAUGCAUGGCGCAUGGAGUUUGAGCAGCUGCGCCAGGGUGCUAUGACUGUGUCAGAGUAUACAGUUCAUUUUAGUGAUUUGGCCCGACAUACACCAGCCUUGGUUGCCACAGUUCGGGAAAGGGUUCGUCUGUUUAUCGAGGGACUCCACCCUAGUAUCAAGCUUAGCAUGGCCUGGGAGUUGGAGAUGGAUAUUUCUUACCAGCAGGUUGUGAGUAUUGCUAGGAGAUUGGAUGGCAUGCUUGCUCGGGAGAGAGAAGAGAGGGAGGCCAAGAGGUUUCGAGAGUCUAGCACUUACAGUGGUACUCGUGCCCUAGCUGCAGUUUGCCAUGGUAGGGGCUAUGAGAGUCGCCCCAUUCAUUCAGAUCUCCUAGCCGCCAUUAGUAUUCCGGCCCCUUCUAGACCUCAGGAGCCUUAUUAUGCACCGUCAGUAUCUAGUGUGCCUCCUGCACGGGGUGCUUUUAUCGGCCAGUCCAACAGAACUAGCCCGAUCCAGUCACAGUAGCCACACUCUUUGAGAGCUUUUUUUGAGUGUGGCAACACUCGCCAUAUGGUGAGGGAUUGCCCUAGACUUAGGAGGGGUACACCUCCACAGACUUCUCAGCCACCGCGUGUUCCACCGAGUCCUCGGGCUAUGAUUCCAGCACCAGCUACUGCCCCACUUGCUCAGACAGCUCGAGGUGGAGGUCGGGGAGGUUGAGGUCGCCCUAGAGGGGGAGGCCAGGCCAGAUAUUAUGCUCUUUCAGCUCGCACAAAGGCAAUUGCUUACGACUCUAUCAUUACAGGUAUUGUUCCGGUCUGUCAUAGAGAUGUGUAGGUCUUAUUUGAUCUAGGAUCUACAUAUUUCCUAUGUGUUCUCUUAUUUUGCCCCGUAUUUGGGCGUAUCUCGGGAUUCCUUGAGUUCCCCUAUUUAUGUGUCUACUCCUGUGGGAAAUUCUCUUGUUAUGGACCGCUUAUAUCGGUCAUGUUUGAUUGCUCUUAGUGGUUUUGAGACCAAAGCCAAUUUAGUAUUGCUCAGUAUGGUAGACUUUGAUAUUAUCUUGGGCAUGGACUGGUUGUCGCCCCAUUAUGCUAUUCUUGAUUGCCACGCUAAGACCGUGACGCUGGCUAUGCCAGGAUUACCGCAAUUAGAGUGGAGAGGUACCUUAGAGUAUACUCCCGGCAGAGUUAUUUCAUAUGUUAAAGCUCAACAAAUGGUUGAGAAGAGGUGUGACACGUCUCUAGAUUAUGUGAGAGAUGUCAGUAUUGAUACCCCUACAUUUGAGUCAAUUCCAUUAGUAAGGGACUUUCCAGAUGUUUUUCCAGUUGAUCUUUCGGGCAUGUCGCCCGACAGAGAUUGAUUUUGGCAUUGAUUUGUUACUGGACACUCAACCCAUCUUUAUUCCUCCAUAUCGUAUGGAUCCUCCUGAGUUGAAGGAGUUGAAGGAGAAGUUACAUGAGUUGCUUGUUAAGGGCUUCAUUCGACCCAGUGUAUCACCUUGGGGUGCUCCUGUCUUGUUUGUGAAGAAAAAUGAUGGUUCUAUGAGUAUAUGCAUUGAUUAUCGCCAGCUGAACAAAGUUACAGUGAAGAACAUGUAUCCAUUGCCUCGUAUUAAUGACUUAUUUGAUCAAUUAUAGGGUGCUAGAGUGUUUUCCAAGAUUGACUUACGUUCAGGCUAUCAUCAUUUGAAGAUUUGGGAACCAGAUAUCCAGAAGACUGCUUUCAGGACUCGGUAUGGUCACUACGAGUUCCUUGUGAUGUCCUUUGGGUUGACCAAUGCCCAGCAACGUUUAUGCACUUGAUGCAUAGUGUGUUGCGACCCUAUUUUGACUCUUUCGUCAUUGUGUUUAUUGACGACAUUCUGGUGUACUCCCGGACUCAAGAGGAUCAUGAGCAGCACCUGAUGACUGUGCUUCAGACCCUGAGAGAAAAUAAAUUAUAUGCAAAAAUUUCCAAGUGUGGGUUUUGGCUAGACUCAGUGGAAUUCUUGGGCCAUGUCAUAUCAAGUGAUGGGAUCCAGGUGGAUCCUAAGAAGAUUGAAGUAAUGCACAGUUGGCCCAGACCGUCCUCAGCUACGGAGAUUCAGAGUUUUCUUGGUUUGGCGGGGUAUUACUGUCAUUUGAUAGAGGGAUUCUCAUCUAUUGCAGCACCUAUGACCAGGCUGACCCAAAAGGGUGCUCCGUUCAGGUGGACAAGGAAUGUGAGAAGAGCUUUCAGAAGUUCAAGACAACUUUGACUACAACCCAGUUUUGGUAUUGCCUACAAGUUUGGAGUCUUAUACUGUAUAUUGUGAUGUGUUGCUGAUUGGUCUCGGCACGAUGUUGAUGCAAGACCGUAGGGUGAUUGCCUAUGCGUCCAGACAACUGAAGGUACAUGAAAAGAACUAUCAUGUCCAUGACCUUGAGCUAGCAGCUAUUGUUCAUACCUUGAAGAUUUGGCGGCACUAUUUUUACGGUGUCCAUUGUGAGAUCUACACCAAUCACCAGAGUUUGCAACAUUUGUUUAAGCGGAAGGAUCUUAACUUGCGUCAUCGAAGAUGGUUGGAGCUGCUUAAGGAUUAUGAUAUCACUAUUUUGUACCAUCCCGUGAAGGCCAAUGUAGUGGCCGAUACUUUGAGUCACCAGGCGAAGAGUUUGGGGAGCUUAGCAUAUCUACCAGCAACAGAGAGGCCAUUGGUGUUGAAUGUUCAGGCCUUAUCCAGCCAGUUUGUUAGAUUGGAUAUUUCUGAGCCGAGUUGAGUAUUGGCUUGUGUGGUCUCUCGGUCUUCUCUUUAUGAUCGUAUCAGGGAGCGUCGGUAUGAUGACCCCCAUCUGCUUGUCCUUAAGGACACGGUUCAACACGGUGAUGCUAAGAAGGUCACUAUUGGGGAUGAUGGUGCAUUGAGGAUGCAGGGCAGGCUAUGUGUGCCCAAUGUGAAUGGGUUGCGUGAGUUGAUUCUCCAUGAGGCUCACAGCUCGCAGUACUCCAUUCAUCCAUGUGCCGCGAAGAUGUAUCAGGACUUGAGGCAACAUUACUGGUGGGAAAAAAUGAAGAAGGACAUAGUGGAAUAUGUAGCUCGGUGUCUGAAUUGCCAACAGGUAAAGUAUGAGCAUCAUUGGCCAGGUGGAUUGCUUCAAAGUUAGAGAUUCUGGAGUGAAAAUGGGAGCGGAUCACUAUGGAUUUCGUUGUUGGACUCCCAUGGACUCAGCGGAGGAUUGAUGUAGUUUGGGUGAUUGUGGAUAGGCUGACCAAGUCAGCUCAUUUCCUCCCUGUGAUGACUACCUAUUCUUCCGAGUAGUUGGCUCGAAUUUAUAUCCGCGAGAUUGUCAGGCUUCAUGGAAUACCAGUAUCUAUCAUCUCUGACCGGGGUACGCAACUUACAUCACGAUUUUGGAGGGCCGUACAACAUGAGUUGGGUACUCGAGUGGAGUUGAGCACAACAUUUCACCCUCAGACGGACGGGAAGUCCGAGCACACUAUUCAGAUAUUAGAGGAUAUGCUCCGUGCGUGCGUGAUAGAUUUUGGAGGUUCUUGGGAUCAGUUCUUGCCACUUGCGGAGUUUGCCUACAACAACAAUUAUCAGUCGAGCAUCCAGACGGCACCGUAUGAGGCUCUAUAUGGCAGGAGAUGUCGGUCUCCAGUGGGUUGGUUCGAGCCAGACGAGGCUAGAUUAUUGGGCACAGACUUGGUUCAGGAUGCUUUGGAAAAGGUUAAGGUGAUUCAGGAUUGACUUCACACAGCCCAGUCCAGACAGAAGAGUUAUGCGGAUAUGAAGGUUCGCGAUGUUGCAUUCAUGGUUGGGGAGCGGGUCUUGCUCCGGGUUUCGCCAAUGAAGGGCAUUAUGAGGUUCAGGAAGAAGGGCAAGUUGAGCGCAAGGUUCAUUGGUCCCUUUGAGGUGUUGCGGCGUGUUGGGUAGGUUGCUUAUGAGCUUGCCUUACCUCCCAGUCUAGCAGGAGUUCAUCCGGUAUUCCAUGUUUCUAGGCUCCGAAAGUAUCACGGUGAUCCGUCUCAUGUGCUGGAUUUCAGCUUAGUCCAGUUGGACAAGGAUCUAUCUUAUGUUGAGGAGCCAGUGGCUAUUUUGGACAGGCAUGUUCGAAAGCCGAGGUCAAAGAACGUUACUUUUGUGAAGGUUCAGUGAAGGGGCCAGCCGGUCGAAGAGGCGACUUGGGAGACUGAGCAGGAUAUGCGCAGCCGUUAUCCUCAUCUUUUCACCACUUUAGGUAUAUCUCUAUGCUCACUCGAGGAUGAACGGUUAUUUUAAGAAGGGGAGGAUGUAAUGACCCGACCGAUCGUUUAGAGAGUAAUAGCCCCGAUCCCCUAUUUACUGCUUUCCCCGUAUCUCUUUAUUCUUAUGUGACUUGCUGGGAGGUUUUGGUUGUGUUUUUGGAGUGUUUUGGAACACUUAGUCCUUAAAGUUGUAACUAAAGUUCUAAGAUUUUGACCAUAGUUGGAACUGUGUGAAGACGACUCCAGAAUGGAGUUUCGUCCAUUUUGUUAGCUCCGUUGGGUAAUUUUGGACUUAGGAACAUGUCCGGAUUGUGUUUUGGAGGUCUGUAGUUAAAUUAAGCUUGAAAUGAUGAAAGUUGAAAAUUUGGGAAGUUUGACCAUGUGAACUUUUGGACUUUUUGAUAUCGGGGUCGGAUUCCGAUUUCGGAAGUUGGAGUAGGUCCGUAAUGUCGAUUAUGACUUGUGUGUAAAAUUCGAGAUUUUGGUUGUGUUUUCGGAAAAUUUGGGAAGUUUGACCAUUUGGACUUAUGCAAAUUGCUGAAGUUUUCUGGUUUAUGGUGUUUUCGCACCUGCUGCGGGGAAACCGCAGGUGCGGACUCGCACGUGCGGAAGAUGGAGUACAGAAGUAGACGGGGCUUGGAGUGUGAUGAUUCACAGAAGCAGAAGAUAUCCCCAGAAGCGGGCGCGCAGGCGCGACCCCUUGCUCACAGAUGCGGACCCCGCCCCUUAAGUCAUUUCCGCACCUGCGAGGGAAUUUCUGUGGGUGUGACUGGUGGUUCGCAAAUGCGGAAUCGCUGGGCAGAAAAGAUUAAUUUCGAGGGUUUGAUCUCAUUUUUAUUUUGGGUCUUUGAGAGCUCAGAUUGAGGCGAUAAUUCAAGGAUUUUUCAGAGAGAACUUUGGGGUAAUGAUUCUUAACUUGUUUAUGGUUAUAUUCCACUAAUCUAUAGUUCAUCUCAUCAUUUGAUUAAGGAAUAUAGUUGAGAAUUUUGGGGAAAAGUUGGAAGGUUCUUCAAAUAAAUCUUUGAGUUUUGCUUCGGAUUUUGAUAUCGGAUUUGGAUAAUUUUGGUACGAGUGAACUCGUGAGUGAAUGGGUGUUCAUAUUUUGUGACUAUUACCCGUUUCCGAGACAUGGGCACGAGGAGGCUUUUUGGGGCGAUUUUCUAAUUUCUUGCUUUAGCUUUGAUUUCAUUAAUUAGAUUAAUUUCUUAUAGUUGUAUUUAUGGUAUGUAAUUAAUUUUGGCUAGAUUUGGGCCAUUCAGAGUCGGAUAUUCAUGAAAAAGGCAUUGUUACCGAUUGAUUGAGCUUAGUUCGAGGUAAUGGCUUGCCUAACCUUGUGUGAGAAAAUUCCCUUAGGAUUUGGUACAAUUGUGAUAUGUGAGCGUUGUGUAUGUGAGGUAACGAGUACGUACACGGGCUAUUUAUUGUAAAACCCGAUUUAUUCUACUGAGUAGCAACAUGUUUUUUCUUUAAUUUGAGUUAUACCGUUUAAAUGAGUAUUAGUCUAUUUUCAUUCUUAAUUGAGUUAUUCCAAUAUGUGUAGUUAUCUUGUUUAGUUUAAUAUCGCAUGUCUACGUGCUUUAACUGCUUAUUUGAACUCUGUGAAGCAUGCCUAGUUGAUUUUCCGCCUUUCCUUGUUCUUUAUCAGUAUAACCGUAGAAAUCUUGCUAUUAACAGUUGUAUUUAUCGGUUUGAGUUGUAUGUUUACUUUUGAGACUACGAGGCGGUUCCUCGAGAGUUUUCCCUGCACAUUUACUUUUAAGACUACGAGGCAGUUCCUCGGGAGUUCUCCCUGCACAUUUACUUUUUAGACUGCGAGGCGGUUCCUCAAGAGUUCUUCCAACAUAUUUACUUUUGAGACUACGAGGCAGUACCUCGGGAGUUCUCCCUGUAUAUUUACUUUUGAGACUACGAGGUGGUACUUCGGCAGUGCUCCCUGUAUAUUUAUUUUGGGACUACGAGACAGUAUAUUGGGAGAUCCCCUGUGAUUUACGAUUGUGUGUUGUACUGUUACCUUGAUGUGUUUCCUUUUGUUAAAUUCUAGUCUCUUAUUAUACUAUAUAUUCUCUUGCCUUAUUUAUUAUUUACCAGUGGGCUUGACCUGACCUCGUCACUACUCGACCGAGGUUGGGUUUAGAACUUAGUGGGUACCGUUGUGGUGUACUCAUGCUACUCUUCUGCAACAUAUUUUAUGUGCAGAUCCAGGUACUUCUUAUCAGCCCCGCUACUAAUUGAGAGUGCUUGCUAUUGUACGGAGACUUCAAGGUACAUCUGUCGCGUCCGCAAACCUCAGAGUCCCCAUCUAUUCUCUCCUUUGUCAUUUACCUUCCGUAUUUCUUUUAUUAGACUCUGGUGUAUAGAGAUUCUAGUUUCCUUCUGUAGCUUGUGACUUACGAAUUUCCGAAUUUUGGGAAGACUGUGUAUUUAUAGAAUAUUGGUUAUUGUACAUGCCGAGCGGUAUUGUUACUAGUUACUCAGUUAUCCACUGCUGUUAGUUGCCAAGUUUUACUUUUGUUUUGUUAUUUUCCGCAAUUUGUUAGACUUACCUAGUCGUAAAGACUAGGUGCCGUCACGACAUUAUACAGAGGGAGUUUGGGUCGUGACGUUCCACAAAUAGAAUUUAAAAAGGAUGGAGUGUACGCAGAACUUGCUCCCAUCUUAUGUGAGGUAAAGAGAUUGUUUCUGAACUUGCUCCCAACUUGCUCCCAUAUUAUAUUAAAGAACUUAAAUUACUGUGUAUUGAGAUGAAAGAGGUAGGGGUGGUUAUCGGGCGUAUUGGGCGGAUAAUUAUGCUUAAUGGUUUGGUUUAUCGGUUAUCGGUUAUCGAAUUAUAAAUGUAGUAAUUCGCUAGCCAUCCAAUAAGAUAACAUGCGGAUUAUAUCAGAUUAACGAUUAUCGGACGGUUUAUCGGCUAAAUCAAAUAGAAAUUAUUUGAACAAUCAAUAUCAAACGGCCAAAUGCAUAAUUCAAACUGUCUUUGUUAGUUUUUGAACAAUCAAUACCAUCAGCAUGGUUAUCCACAAGGGUAAUACUAUGGCUCAUAGAAGAAUUCAAUUAAUGUCCACUCAUAAUUCAUGAGAAGCCAGAAACAAUGCCAUUGGCUACAGACAAUUCUAUCAUUCUAUGUACAACUACUUAUGCAAUAAUGUAGUAACAAGUUUAUAUACAUAGGGGUAAAUGUGUAAAUAUAAAAAAUUUAACGGGUUAACGGUUCACCCGACAAGAAAAUUAAGUAAUUCGCCCCCAAUCCAAUACCAAUAAAUCAAUAAGCUAUUGGUUCGAUUUGAUUUGGUUAACAGUUUCGAUUAGAUUUUGAACAACACACCCUAGAAAGAGGUAUAAAUAAAGCUAAGAAGAUAAUAGGAGUAGUAAAUAUUCAUAAAGUCAAAUCUAACUUACCAGCAAAUUUUUUAAAAAAUUAGAAUUUUAAAUCAACAAGGAAAUAGUAUCAAGGCUUGAACUCCUAUGUGCAGAGUACUUUUGGGAUCAACAAUGUGUCCACUAGACAAAUUCCAAGAGUAAAUUGGAUUAAAGUUGAGAAUACUGCUGAUGUGCAAAUUAGGCUGUGGACAUUUCUUCGAAUAAAAAAUAUAAUAAUAAUAAUAAAAGAAAAGUAAAAAAUAAAAAAACAAAGCAGCUGGAAAACUAUAAGAGACAUUCUUCUCCGGCAAAGCAUCUUCCCUCCCCAUCCACUUUUUUCAUUUUCUCUCUCCUCACUCUCCCACCCCCACACACAUGGAACCCCCACUACUAUCCGGCGGCCCACCGAUUUCUACCACCGUUACAACGGCGUCGGUGGUUGGACCUAUGACACAGCCACCACCACCGACGUCAUCGUUACAUCUAAACAACUACGCCAACUCACUAGAUUCCGCCUCCCCAAAGUCACGCAACUCCAACUCCUGGGACGAUCAGCAACCGGCUAACGCCGGUGGCGGCGGAAAGCUCCGCCUCAUGUGCAGCUACGGCGGACACAUAAUCCCUCGCCCACACGAUAAAUCCCUUUGCUACAUCGGCGGCGACACCCGGAUCUUCGUCGCCGACCGCCGUACUUCUCUCUCCGACCUUUCCUCCCGCCUUUCCAAAACCCUCCUUUCCGGCCGUCCGUUUUGGCUUAAAUACCAGCUCCCUAACGAA